AACUUUUAAUAAUAGAUCUUUUAGUUUUAAUAUUAAUAAAGAAUAUAGUAAAAUAUAAUAAGUAAUAUAAAUUAUAGAAUUUAAUAAAUUAUUAAAUCUUUAAACGUAUAUUACGCUUAUUAGUAUUUUAAUAAGUAUACCUAUUUAAGCGUUA
rnacentral:rRNA from 1 species